UGCGUAGGUGGUCUAUUAAGUUGGAUGUGAAACCCCCGGGCUUAACCUGGGAACUGCAUCCAAUACUGGAAGACUAGAGUGCAGGAGAGGAAAGCGGAAUUCCUAGUGUAGCGGUGAAAUGCGUAGAUAUUAGGAGGAACACCAGUGGCGAAGGCGGCUUUCUGGACUGUAACUGACACUGAGGCACGAAAGCGUGGGUAGCAAACA
rnacentral:rRNA from 1 species